rnacentral:lncRNA from 1 species
AUUACGUACGACACUGUAGAAGAAUGAUGGUCUUAUUUUUGCCUAAUUAUAUAUAUUACAGACUGCCAGUGUUUGAACGAUGAUUCCUCUGUAUCGUACUUCCCCUAUUGGUCUACGCGAGGAGGAUGGCCUUAUUAUAAGGUAAUUAUAUAUAUAUUUUACAGACUACCAGUGUUUGAACGGCAAUUCCUCUGUAUCGUACUGUCCGUAUAGGUCUAAACGAGGAGGAUACCCUUAUUAUAAGAUAAUUAUAUAUAUAUUUCAGACUACCAGUGUUUGAACGGUGAUCCCUCUAUAACGUACUGUCAGUAUUGGUCUUCACAUGGAGGGUGUGAUAAGAACAACAUAGAUACGUAUGUAGGAAGUGCAUGGUGGGGGAAUGGAUCGUGGCUAUAUGUGGCAUAUAUGCAAACGGGAGUGUAGAUUUCUGUUUAGAACAUUUUUUAAAUUCAGGUCUAGAUUCAGGUUACAUUUGUGAGUGAUUUUGUUUAUAGACUACCAGAUACCAGUGAUACGCUUUUAAUUUAUAGACCAUUCAUUGGAUCAAGCUGUUGAUAACAAUGUUUAAUAUGUCAUU